UACGGAGGGAGCGAGCGUUAAUCGGAAUUACUGGGCGUAAAGCGCGCGUAGGCGGCUUUGUAAGUCGGAUGUGAAAGCCCUGGGCUUAACCUGGGAAUGGCAUUCGAUACUGCAGAGCUAGAGUGUAGGAGAGGGAGGUAGAAUUCCAUGUGUAGCAGUGAAAUGCGUAGAUAUAUGGAGGAAUACCAGUGGCGAAGGCGGCUACCUGGACAGAUACUGACACUGAGGCGCGAGAGCGUGGGGAGCAAACAGG
rnacentral:rRNA from 1 species